rnacentral:lncRNA from 1 species
GAAGCACUUGCCGCAUCAAACGGUGGACUGUACCAAUAAUGAGCGUUUGCCAUGAGUAAAACCGACUCUCCAUUCUCAAGUUCAAAAGCAAAGAGCUUCCAGAUGUCCUUGCUCUCGACGAAGCCACACCAGAACCGUGUCAAAAUAGUUAUGCGAUAUCGCGCCGACACCAAUUUAACCCACAAACAAAUCAUGUCGCUUGCAAACCUCAGCUGAAAUUCAACCCGGUGACGUAUGUCCUGCAAGUAUCAGCAACAGAUGAAAUUAACACGACCAUGUACCAUUCAUUCAAGAAAACGUAUGCUAAAGUGGUUUCGCAACAGUGAUUUACCUGUGGUAAAAAGUUAGGAUGAGAGUUGAGGGGGGACCAUUAAGCUUGAGCAGACAAUUUUCAGAAUUCCCGCUCUACUACAUGGACAGUUGCCUUAGCUCCUGGUCACUACCAAUAGUACGGAAAAGCAGACGAGAGGGACCACCAGCUUGAGCGAAGACAAAAACCUCCAGCAUCCUCCGUACGGACAGCCUCCACUACACAACAGGAAACACAACAGAGAGGUCAUAUAUAAAAGAGAUUACUAUUCACAAGGGAACCCUAAAUUUUUUUGGAGGAGCGGCUACUGUUCAAAAGCAAAAAACCCUAAAAACUUUCAAUACGAAAAAGAGAAUUAGCCAAAAACCCUAAGAUUCUCCUCUGACAGCGAGACGCUAAAAACCAGAAAGGAUAGGAUCCGAAGAAACAAGAAGAGUGGAAGAACACAUACCUAUUCAUCUACCUCUGAAGAAUCUCGAGCUGGUAGUUCUUUUUCUCUUCUUUAUCAUGUCAUACUUGGAUUCAUGUUGAUGCCACCGAAUGUAUUACAAUGUAUGUGUAAUGUUUUUUUUCACGCUUGAUUCAUUUCUCUAUAAGUGAUUGUCCCUUCUUGUUUUUCAGUAUUCAAGGUCGACCCUAUCUGUUUAGGGUUCAUGAUUUUGAUGAUGUCGUUUGCCUUUGCGUGCUUUUAGUGUUGGGUUUGGUUUGUGAUAGGAGUAACGGUUUAGGUUUAAUCUGUAAGUUUGCUUUUGUUUCGAGUGAGGAAGGAGAUGAAUGUCUCAAGCAGAAAAGAAGAUUUGAGGCGGAAGUGAUUAUUCUCACCGUCUGUUGGUGUUUUUUAUUUGGAUCUCAUCGAGGCUUUAAGGCCAUUAAUUACAUUGCCUUUCCGAAUCCCAAAGUCGGCUGCUUUGUUCGGCGCUCCCUUACGUUCGUCCAAGUUUAGUCUGUUGGUGUUUUUUAUUUGGAUCUCAUCGAGGCUUUAAGGCCAUUAAUUACAUUGCCUUUCCGAAUCCCAAAGUCGGCUGCUUUGUUCGGCGCUCCCUUACGUUCGUCCAAGUUUCCAUGUGACUAUUGUACUUCCCUGCCAUUUUCGCGCUUGGACUUUGCUGAAGUGGGCCUCAACUACCCAAGUUGAGAUUUAGGUUCAUGGGCCUUAAACAAACUUAGCCCAUGUUUGGCCUUUCUCGUUUUCUCC